UACGUAGGGCGCAAGCGUUGUCCGGAAUUAUUGGGCGUAAAGAGCUCGUAGGCGGUUUGUCGCGUCUGCUGUGAAAACCUAAGGCUCAACCUUGGGCUUGCAGUGGAUACUGGCAAGCUGGAGUAUGGUAGAGGAAGGUGGAAUUCCCGGUGUAGCAGUGAAAUGCGCAGAUAUCAGGAGGAACACCGGUGGCGAAGGCGGAUCUCUGGGCCAUUACUGACGCUGAGGAGCGAAAGCGUGGGGAGCGAACAGG
rnacentral:rRNA from 1 species